rnacentral:rRNA from 1 species
GUGAAAUCCGGGGCUCAACCCCGGAACUGCUUUUGAAACUGUAUCCCUUGAGUGUCGGAGAGGCAAGGGAAUUCCUAGUGUAGCGGUGAAAUGCGUAGAUAUUAGGAGGAACACCAGUGGCGAAGGCGCUUGCUGGACGAUAACUGACGCUGAGGCGCGAAAGCGUGGGGAGCAAACAGGAUUAGAUCCCUGGUAGUCCACGCUGUAAACGAUGAAUACUAGGUGUGGGAGGACUGACCCCUUCCGUCCGCAGUUAACACAAUAAGUAUUCCACCUGGGGAGUACGACCGCAAGGUUGAAACUCAAAGAAUUGACGGGGGCCCGCACAAGCAGUGGAUUAUGUGGUUUAAUUCGACGCAACGCGAAGACCUUACCAGGGUUUGACAUCCAACUAACGAAGUAGAGAUACAUUAGGUGCCCUUCGGGGAAGUUGAGACAGGUGGUGCAUGGUUGUCGUCAGCUCGUGUCGUGAGAUGUUGGGUUAAGUCCGCAACGAGCGCAACCCCUAUUGUUAGUUGCUACGCAAGAGCACUCUAGCGAGACUGCCUUGACAAAACGGAGGAAGGCGGGGACGACGUCAAAUCAUCAUGCCCCUUAUAUCCUGGGCACACACGUAAUACAAUGGUGGUAAACAGAGGGAAGCAAAGCCGCGAGGUGGAGCAAAUCCUAAAAGCCAUCUCAGUUCGGAUUGCAGGCUGCAACUCGCCUGCAUGAAGCUGGAAUUGCUGUAAUCGCGGAUCAGCAUGCCGCGGUGAAUACGUUCCCGGGCCUUGUACACACCGCCCGU